rnacentral:rRNA from 1 species
ACACUCCUGCGGGAGGCAGCAGUGGGGAAUUUUGGACAAUGGGGGCAACCCUGAUCCAGCAAUGCCGCGUGAGUGAAGAAGGCCUUCGGGUUGUAAAGCUCUUUUGUCAGGGAAGAAACGGUGGUGGCGAAUAACUACUACUAAUGACGGUACCUGAAGAAUAAGCACCGGCUAACUACGUGCCAGCAGCCGCGGUAAUACGUAGGGUGCAAGCGUUAAUCGGAAUUACUGGGCGUAAAGCGUGCGCAGGCGGUUGUGUAAGUCAGAUGUGAAAUCCCCGGGCUCAACCUGGGAAUUGCAUUUGAGACUGCACGGCUAGAGUGUGUCAGAGGGGGGUAGAAUUCCACGUGUAGCAGUGAAAUGCGUAGAUAUGUGGAGGAAUACCGAUGGCGAAGGCAGCCCCCUGGGAUAACACUGACGCUCAUGCACGAAAGCGUGGGGAGCAAACAGGAUUAGAAACCCCUGUAGUCCCA